GUUCCUACGGGAGGCAGCAGUGAGGAAUAUUGGUCAAUGGGCGCGAGCCUGAACCAGCCAAGUAGCGUGAAGGAUGACUGCCCUACGGGUUGUAAACUUCUUUUAUAAAGGAAUAAAGUGAGGCACGUGUGCCUUUUUGUAUGUACUUUAUGAAUAAGGAUCGGCUAACUCCGUGCCAGCAGCCGCGGUAAUACGGAGGAUCCGAGCGUUAUCCGGAUUUAUUGGGUUUAAAGGGUGCGUAGGCGGUUUGUCAAGUCAGCGGUAGAAAUUCCGGGCUCAACCCGGUCCCGCCGUUGAAACUGGCG
rnacentral:rRNA from 1 species